ACCCCUACAUCUCACCUGUCUGCCAUACCAGUGUCACCACACUUCUUAGUUAAGAGGACAACCAAUCCAUAUGGCACACAAUGACCUCCACUUGAUAAACAUCAUUGUCUCGUAAUGAUGUAUCAUUUGGUUGCAAACAUAUUUAAGAACUAUAUAAUAAAUCCUCUCUUUAUCGUAUACUAGCAUAAUUUUAGAAACUUCAUCACAGUACA
rnacentral:lncRNA from 1 species